GCGUCUCUGGCCUAUUUUUUUUUUCAAUCAUCAUCAUCAUCAUCUUGACAAAUAAUCAUAUAGCAGAUAUAUAUUUUUCACAAUUAGUUAGUUUCCAUCCAAAAAGAUGACAACUUCUUUUUAUUUAUAUGCACAAACAGGAUUUUAAUUGAGGUCGACUCUAGUUACUGUUGAAAGAGACAAAAGAAGACUUGGAUUCAUGAUUGGAAUAGCGGAUGAAAGAGAAAAUAUCAACCUGUACGGACCGUUACUUGCACUUCACCAUGGACUUUUCAGAAUUUGCCCAUUACAUUGUACAAGACCCAGUAUGAACUCAGUGGGCAGGUGGGAUAUCAAAAAUAGCGAUCUCCACGUCAACGCAUUCACUCUCGGAAAGAGAUGGUCGUCGUCUGUGGGUGGCGUUGGUCAUCCUCUCGCACCCACUUGAUGCCUCCGUGCAGCCUCCUCCCUCCGUUAGUCAAUCUCGAUACACGUCCUUCCAAAGCCUGAUGGCGGCUUGCAGAACGAGAAUCCGAAAGAAUCCUUUUCCCAUUUGUUUUGUGGUAAUUGGUUGAUCUGACUGUCGUCUUCUCUUUGAAUUGACCAGGUGAAGCAAAAAUGGGUCCAAACAAUAUAAGAGACAUGUCAGCUUGUCCCCUGCUCUUUCCUCGUACCGCGUGGUUCCAAGAUUGUGUAAUGGGAUCAAGAAUCCAGACAAUUUGAUACCAAAUUGAAUAUGGAUGGAUCGAUUGAUUCGUCAUUAUUCAGGUGGAGUCCGAGUUUUUGAGGGAGCUGCGCACCAAAUUCAAUCGUGAUCAAACGGCAUGACUCAGUCACAGUAAAGGCUUCAGGCAGAUUAGCACUUUACACUUUCGCUGCGGUCAAAGGCACCUGCUGUAUUCACGAACCUGAUACAUCUGUUAUGAUAGAAAUUAUCAGCACCAACCCUAGUGUGUUUGAGUGGAAGGAUCCACAACCUGGAACAGCAACCAGCCCUACCCUCUUCCAUCAGCUUUUUGACACAAUCAACAUGAAAUUGCAAUCGCACUCUUACCUUUUGACAAUGACAUAUAUCGGAUUUCAGACAGCUUAUUAGCAAUAAAUAUAGUGACAAAAAGCAGCGUUCGUCAGACAGAAGGCACUCCUCAGGAAUCUUGGCAAAUAUAAAGAAUGAACCCUGAGGCUUAAACUGAAUGUGCAAACCAAUUUCAGCCAGAAUUUUAGCUAGGAAAUCUCUUCUUACUUCAUAGUCCUGAACAUCAAUGGGAAUAAGAGUCAGUUACGGCGAAUCCUCAUGCACAGCUUCGGAGUAUACUACUUGUCUUAGUGAUUCAAAAUAUUGUGGCUGACUUUCAAGAUCGGUAAACACAGCCUCCUGGAAAGAGUGUCAACAAGGUGCUGGAGCCAAAGCUGUGAUUCUGACGUGUAUGUUCUUUAUGGCCGUUGCGAUGGCAGCAUGGGCAAUUGCCCAUCCAAUCUUCCUGCCUGUCCAUCAAAAUACCAAUUCCAAACUUUGAGGCAGCUAAAGAGUUUGAGAAAUUACGUCCAUUUUCUAUCAAAGUUAUUUGACGACAGGAUAUCAGGAACAAGAAAAAUAUUUACAAAAUGAUUUAAAAGAUUUUAGGAGUUCUUGGUGGAAGCUUUGUUCCACAGUUGAUGCUUGCAUCACUACGAGACAGUGAUACUGCAUCUCAGAACUAGGAGAUCACCUUUACCCUGAAUGUUUUUGAGAAGUAAUUAUUGUCCAUUCCUGCAUUCCUUGAAGAGAGGCAAGGGAUAUUUGUUACGUCUUGUCAUAUGUGAAAGUGUUUAUACCCCAGAAAACAUUUGGAAUUUUAUACUCAUUCAGCCCCCGGAUAUCGAACUCCUCUGCGUAAAAGCACUUCUGGGGACCAUGAUUGGACUGAAAAGGAAUCUCAAGACAAUAAAAUAAUGGAACAAACUAAGAUCAACUAAGGGGGGAAGGGGGAGCAACAGCUUGACGGAUGCAUCUUAGGAAGCAACGCUGAUUGCUUUUUAUCUCAACGCAAUGAGUUUGAUAAGCUCACUAGGCAAUUGCACCGUGUUGAUGAAAUUUUAUGCUGAGAAAUAUUAUUUGUUCAUGCAUGUAUGCAAGAGACUUGAAAAGAAUCGAUUGUCACUGCUCCCAUGUUUCUUCAGCUGCUCAUGAGUCACACCAUUGGAAAUGCAGGAACAGAGUAAGAAAAUCGCUUUAAAGGAAGAUCAUCCUAUGUAAUCAUCUCUUGAGGCAAACAAGAGUAAUUUAUCAUAGUCACUAUCAUGUUACAUUACUGAGAUUUGCUACAAUGGUAUGUGAAAAAAAAAUUUGAAGCUAACAUCGACCACUUAGACUAGAUGAAUAGUGCUGGUGAA